AGCCCCGUCCUUAGCAAGUGGCGCUACGUCGUCGCCUCGGCCAUUCGCUUCCUUCUGCUCGCCCGAAAACAAACACUUGCGCAAGUCGGACGUAUUCUCGCGGAUUCUUGCUCUCAAGCUGGUUUGAGUUCGUGACGUCACGAGCAACCUUAACGGAAGGACAAGUGCAACAGUAUGGUUAAGGAUUUGAUUUUUUGCUUGAAUUACUAGUGUAGUUUUUAAUGAAUUGACUUUACAAAUAUUUUUAAAGAGAAUAAGUUGAGGAGAGAGUGCGGGAAUUAUCAACCUGGAGAUAACUUACAUCACCAUGACGUCAUGAUUUCCAAUCAACUUGGACAAUGGAACGCGAAAAUUCGCCUCUGCGCAAGUUGAAGUUGGUCACAUUGGCACUGAUAUUUGCAACUAUUGCAAAAACCAAAAUCCUGUACUAUCUGCUAGCUUCAACUCUUUUCUUGCAAUAUUAAGGGUAUUUUUAUAAAGACCACUUGCAGUAAAUCUGAUGUAAAAACUAAUUUCAGUAUAUCUAUUAACGAACUACUUUCAGCAUGUCUUACAUUUCACAAUGACACAGAACUCAACAGGUUUGCUGUAGAACCCCUUUACUGUAAAUAAUAAUUAAACAACUAAGUUGAUAUAGCAGAUUUCGAACCACUUUCAACAAAGAUGGAAUGCAGGAGAAGGCAAAUAACUCGUAAAGCAGUGAGAGUGAGUGAAUGGAGCUCGUCUAAGAGGGGCCUAUCGCGCCAGAACAAAUUACACACAUAGGGUUGUACAGUACAAGGUCUACUUUCAUAGCCUCUUAACACAGUGUACAAGGUCCUCUGCGCACCCUGUACUUCCUCCUCCCAUUGCGCGCGAAGUUUAAAAAAAAAAUUGUGGCCGAGAAAGUAAACAUUGAGGGUGACGGACGGACGCUGAGCGGUCGCGGAUCGCUGUAUUUUCCCUGUAAUUCUUCUCUCUGCAGUGGAGGUGAAGAAGGUGGAGGGCCUCGGAGAGAUGGUAUGUAAAGAUUCAUGGCCUGUGGACCAAACUUGGCCCUCAAGAUAGUCACUGGUGGCCUACAGAAUGACAAAAAGAAUGAUUAUGAAAAUCAAAAUGGAAAAUAAUGUCAUCUACAUAAGUUACCAUUAUUAUCACUGUUUAAUAUCUAAUAAACAGAAAAAACUU